UACGUAGGGUGCAAGCGUUGUCCGGAAUUAUUGGGCGUAAAGAGCUCGUAGGCGGCUUGUCGCGUCUGCUGUGAAAUCCCGGAGCUCAACUCCGGGCCUGCAGUGGGUACGGGCAAGCUAGAGUGCGGUAGGGGAGAUUGGAAUUCCUGGUGUAGCGGUGGAAUGCGCAGAUAUCAGGAGGAACACCGAUGGCGAAGGCAGAUCUCUGGGCCGUAACUGACGCUGAGGAGCGAAAGCGUGGGGAGCGAACAGG
rnacentral:rRNA from 1 species